CAUUUGGAUACAAAUGAGGUAAAAAUUAUAAAUAGGGAAAGUUAGAUCUUUAGAGUCAAAGAGGAAAAAAGAACAAAUUUAUAAAUGUAUAGUGUCUUAGAAUUAAUUUUAUGUAUUUUCAAUAGUUUAAGAUAUCAGAAGCUUGGGAAAUAAAUAUAAAAUGUGUAAAUCAUCAAUGAUUGCCAAGAGAGAAGAUUUUAUCCUAGGAACAUUCCUCCUUCCAGUGGUACUUUGCUCAAAGUUUCCCCCAUUUUCCAGUGAUGUUGAAAUGGCUCCAG
rnacentral:lncRNA from 1 species